GACGAACGCUGGCGGCGUGCUUAACACAUGCAAGUCGAACGAAGUGGCGAACGGGUGAGUAACGCGUAAUCAACCUGCCCUUCAGCGGGGGACACCAGUUGGCAACGACUGCUAAUACCUCCUACUGACGGAGGGGAUUGCGUCGGAUUAGCUAGUUGGAGGGGUAACGGCCCCCCAAGGCGAUGGUCAGUAGCCGGGCUGAGAGGAUGAACGGCCACAUUGGGACUGAGACACGGCCCAGACUCCGACGGGAGGCAGCAGUGGGGAAUCUGCCGCAAGGGACGAAAGUCUGACGGAGCAACGCCGCGUGAGUGAUGACGGCCUUCGGGUUGUAAAGCUCUGUUAAUCGGGACGCGGUACCGGAAUAGAAAGCCACGGCUAACUACGUGCCAGCAGCCGCGGUAAUAC
rnacentral:rRNA from 1 species